UGCUUGCAUUGAAUAAGUCUAUGCAAGCAUUGGUAUAUUACGGACAUAUGAAAUCGUAUACGCAGCAACGGAAUACUCGAUUAUAUAGUGCACUCAAUGAUGCGCAGGUAUAGUGCGCAUGUAUCACAAUGCUAUGCAAAUAAUAUGCAAUAUGCUAUUGAUGCGCAAGUAUAUAGCAGUGAUAUACAACUAAUAUGCAGCGUGCUGUAUGAUAUUUGUUUUAUUGCUGUGUAUCAUAGUAAUUAAGAAUGGACAUAAUUGUUAUAGUAUGAUUCAUCUUGAUGCACAUGCAGGAUGCGCAUGUCAAUCAUUCUAGAAGUUAAUGACUUACGUAGGAUUAAGAUGAACCAUUAAAGGUAAUGUACUAAUGAAUCAAUUACGUAGGUUGAUUCAUUAACAUCUCUUUAUUUACAUUAAGUUCUUUGUUAUAUUUUAGUAUAAAUACUGUAAAGUUUGAUUGAAUAAAGACAGUUAUUAACAUCAACUCAACGAGCUUGUUUCUAUUACAUUUCUCCGAGCUCAGGAGAAUUACUUCUACUCUAAGACUGUACCAAUGUGUAAGAAUGCGGUUUUAGCAGAAGGCUGAACAUAAUGGUGACCCCGACGUGAUGUCUUUUUGUAAAAGAUAUCAUCAUUGAACAACGGUCUUAGGGCAGUAGUAGUGUAGUGAAUGUCAAUUAGUUUAUCAAA